rnacentral:rRNA from 1 species
UACGUAGGGUGCGAGCGUUAAUCGGAAUUACUGGGCGUAAAGCGUGCGCAGGCGGUUUUGUAAGCCAGAUGUGAAAUCCCCGGGCUUUACCUGGGAACUGCAUUGGUGACUGCAAGGCUUGAGUGUGUCAGAGGGAGGUGGAAUUCCGCGUGUAGCAGUGAAAUGCGUAGAUAUGCGGAGGAACACCGAUGGCGAAGGCAGCCUCCUGGGAUAACACUGACGCUCAUGCACGAAAGCGUGGGGAGCAAACAGG